CCCUUAGAUGUCCUGGGCCGCACGCGUGCUACACUGAGUGGAUCAGCGGGUCAGGUUGCGCGAAAGCGUUUCCUAAUCUUUAAAUCCGCUCGUGAUGGGGAUUGACGGUUGCAAUUUUCUGUCAUGAACGAGGAAUACCUUGUAAGCGCGGGUCAUCAUCCCGCGCUGAAUACGUCCCUGCCCUUUGUACACACCGCCCGUCGCUCCUACCGAUUGAGUGGUCCGGUGAGGCUUUGGGAUCUGAGCGGAAAGAGCGUUUCGCUGUUUCUGCUCGGAAAACUCAGUCGAACCUUAUCAUUUAGAGGAAGGAGAAGUCGUAACA
rnacentral:rRNA from 1 species